UCACUGACUAAGAAGUUUUACUGUGUCAGAAUGGUACGUGUGAGAGAGAGAGUUCACUCUGUGUCUUGCUGCGCUACAGUCUUUCCACAGUCCAGCUUCCUAAAGUAGGUGAACAGGUUAUAUAAACAGAGUAUCAAUGGAGGCCAUCUAUUCUAACAAGAACAUUAAGAAGCAUGUGACGAGCGCAAAUGGAGAUGGUGAAUUUUCCUAUGGGAAUUCCAAAUCUGAUGACAUCGUAUACUAUGAAGUCCGCUUCAAAUCAAAAUCAAGACACAGGGGUCAAGUGUUUAUUUAGGAGAGAUAGAGAAUGUGUGUGUGUGUGUGUGUGUGUGUGUGUGUGUGUCUAUGUGUGUGUGUGUGUGUGUGUGUCAGUGCUGAUUUUACAACCCCUGGAUGAAUGCGAGAUCAUUCAAUGUGCAGUUCAGUAGUUUCAAUUUCCACAAAGAUGUCCUUAUUCAGUAGAUUUUCAGGGGAACAGAGGAGAAUCAGUUGGAGCCUGUUAUGGAACAAUACACAAAUGUGCUAAAGAGCCAUCUUUUUCAGUGUAUGAUCAUGAUUGACACCCUUCAAAACCUGGAAAAAGAAAAUGAGCAUCUGUCUGUUUGUGAGACUAGUUUGGUCAAUCAGCUCUCUGGUGAUUAUUAUAUUCUAAUAGUGAAGACAUAACUUUAUUUCUAAGAUUUUUAUUGGAGAAUAAAAGACAGACAGACAAGAUGUGUGCUGGAUUAAUCUGUGCAUCUUGGUUUCAACUUCCAUUUUUGUACUGGAAUACACGACACGACAUUUGGUGAUUGUCACCAGUUCAGGGGAGCAGGUAUGAUGAUGUCUGAAUGUGAUAGCUGUGACAAUAAAAUACUCACUGAAAUGCAGAAAGGUUAUGUUCUGGAAGGGAGUUCUACUGAAAUGGUCUGACUGAUGCUGUGGUGGAGGGAGAAUGGCGCUGGUUAGAUGGCACAAAAGAGACACGGAGGUACUGGGCUGGAAAUGAGCCUGAUGACUGGAAAGGAAGUUAAAAUGCUCACCCUGAAGGAGAAGACUGUGCUGCAAUAACUCAGCUCUGCCAUUUAUCUUUUACUGGAUGCAUUCUGUAGAUAGCAAGAAGAAAGCAAGAAACUCAAGCGUGUCUGUGAGGCCAAAGCAGGAAUGUAAAACAGAGAUAGUAGAUAGUAGAGAUUGUAAUUAUGACAAUAACAUAAGGUGUAGGGAAGUCAAAUCUCAGGCUGAAUUUUCCUUGUAUUUGUUUGUGUCCUGCUUAGGUAUUUCUUUGUUUGUUUAAAUAUUUUAGCAUUGCUUCAUUUUUAUAUCUCUGUAUUGUGACAAGCCCUUUGGUCAUCAAUGAGUAUAGGCUUAUUGAUGAUGCAAGAAGUCAUCUUUAGCUCAUUAUUUAGUAGCAGUAGUAGCUCAGUGGUUACGGUACUUGACUUGUAAUCAGAAGGUUGCUGGCUCAAGACCUGCCACUGUUGGGCCCCUCAGCAAGGCCAUUAAUGCUCAAGUUAUACCCAGUCAUAAGUGUAAGUUGCUUUGGAUAAAGGUGUCAGGUAAAUGUAGUAGCUUCAGUCUCAAGGUGAGCAGGAUGCUUUAAGAAAUAGUGGGUAGUACUGAAAUGCCUUAGAUUGCUUCUGUAACACUUAAUUGUAUUGGUGGAGAUGCUUUGAAAUUAGAGCACUGUAAAGUGAAACAUUGGUUCUAGAGUUUGUUUGUAUUUAUUCACAACUUUGAGACAAAGUGGAGGGUUAUUCAAGGUAAAGCUUCAUCCAGAGUGUUUUAGCAUACAGGUGUAAUUUACGUUUGCUAAAUUAUAAUUAUUACAGUUGUAAACAAUAAACAUCAUAAUCUGCAGAGGGUGUAACAAAUAUAUUUUAUUUUAAUAUCCCAUAGUCAUGAAAUAUUAUGAUAGCUUAAAUUCAGAUGGAUAAACCCUUUUAUAAUUUAAACAGCACUGUAUGUGUUUACUACUUGUGUGUAUGUCCUGAACAAGCAAAUGUAAACAGUGAUAUCAGUGAUGUCUUUGAAUAAAUUAUUGAAUAAAUUGA